UCCGCACCAGUGGGAGCAGAGUUCUAAUGGAUUGUAACCCAGUGUGUUCGAGACCAGUUUCUUAUGCGAAUUUGCACUAAUAUUUUUUUGGAGCAGUGUUUUCUCCAGGUUUUGCAGAGCUGCCUUUCCCUUAUGACUGUCUCUGUGUAAUUUAGUCUGCUUUCAUUAUGCUGCCAACUCUGUGAUCCUCCUGCAUCAACCACCACAGAUCUGGCAUUACUGUUCUUUCUGCACAAGUUGACACUGUCGUUCAACACAUUACAAAUCCUAGAAGAGACAUAUUCCCUAGAAUCAUGUGACACUCAAUGUCUUGUUACACAUGAGAGGGAGUCCCACCAGGCUCUUCAGUGGGCUCCAGGCCUUUGAUUUUUAACUGGAUCCUCCAGCUCACCAGCCAGCUCACAGUGAACUACAUGAAACAUCUAUGGAAAGAAUUCACAUCGAUGGAAAGAAUGAACGAUUUUCUUCUUAGGAAACAAACAGAAAAAGCAAGACUUGGGUGUAAGAAAGUACUUAAUGAAGACUUCCUGCUUCUGCAGCAAACACAGAGGCUGUAGUGGCUACAGCAGGAGGUGGGAGCAGAUGGGACAGAGGGAUCUGCUUGGCAAGGGUGGCUGCUGGGACAUGAGAGAAGCUACAGGAGGUCCCUUCUACAGCAGGCCUUGAGCAGUACAUUGUCCUGCUGCUGUAAUUGUGUCCAACUGCCUAAAGCAUACUGUCCCUGUGAUGUUCUCUGAUUUCCUCAUUUUUCCAAAAUAAAC